UGCCCUUGGCGUUUUUGUAGGCUUCUCAUGAUAUAUAGUAUUUCUCUUACAACGCCGAAUUUAUGCGGUUCUAUUUGGACCCAAGAUACUAAAAUUACUCUUGGAAGUUGGCGGAGUGCUUCAAGCCUGCUUCACAUCCGCCGCGGGUAAGCCCGGUAUUGUACUAUCUCCGGGAUCGGCCCACGCAUA